CUGGGGGUAGAUUAGUUUGGUCUGGUGGUCGCUCUGUUUUGGUAAUCUACUAACCGUCCUGUUUGUGGUGGGACUAGUAAAAGAGUUAAAGGAAGUGAAGCGGGGGGGACGGUGGAUGCUGAUCGCUUGAAUGUGACUUUAAUUAUGUUUCCUACGGAGUUUGGAUGUUAGACGGUUUCAGACACAUUGUCGUGCGCUUUUGUUUUCCCGCAGGAAGAUAUCGCGACAGCACUGGUUUGUUUACAAUGCAGCAGGUGGUUCACAGUUAGCUGAUGUUGGCGGACAUUACUUGGCGGUUGCUGUGAUGGAACCACUUUGCGAGUAUUUCAUGUACUUUCCGGCCGCUCCGAUACCGAGUCCCUUGGACCCGGCGGAGUACGCAACUCUCCCGCGGCGAAAUCACGUCUACCUCGGCGAGACCGUCCAGUUCCUGCUGGUGCUGCGGUUCCGGGAGGAGCGCUCUGGUGCGGUACCCUGGAGGGACCAGCUGGGAUCCCUGUCCGCUGUGGCGAGUGUGUGCGUCGCUGAGAGCCGGCAGCAGGGGCACGGCGAGGGGCAGCCGGACCUCCAGAGCAGCUGCAGCGGGGACGACGAGGACAAGGGUCCGGGGGAGAGGGAGCCCGGAUGCACCGACAGCAACCGGACCUUCACAGCGUGCAACACGUUCCUCGUUCACCGGAACCCGGCGUCUGAUGGGCGGCUGGAUGGGAAGGAACCGGUUAAGUCUGCUCUGGUGUUGGAUGACCAGGUUAUCUUCUGCCUCACAGUCUCUUUGGACAAGCUGCCAGUGAACACACUCAAAGCCAAGAUCAUAGUGACUGUGUGGAAGCAGGAGGAAGAAAAUGUGGAAGUGAGGGAACAUGGCUACCUGACUCUUCUGCAGCUCAGGAGCCCAACGCACACCUUCAGACAGGACCUGAACACCUUCAAGGCACAGGUCAACACCACCCUGAAUGUUCUGCCACCUCCCAGCGUCCAGUGUCAGCAGAUGACCGUGUCUGGAAAACACUUGACCGUUCUGAAAGUGGUGAACUGCAGCUCUCAGGAGGAGGUGUGUGUAAGAGACAUGAAGAUAGUUCCCAACUACAACUCGUCCUAUCUCCCCAUGAUGCCAGAUGGUUCCGUGCUCAUAGUUGACAAUGUGUGCCACCAAUCAGCUGAGCUCACCAUGGCGUCAUUCUAUCGGAUCGAUAGUGAGUCAUCACGCUUACCGAGCACGCUCAGUGCGCUGGAGCAACAGAACUUUCUAUUUCAGCUGCAGCUUCAAAACAAACCAGAAGAGGACUCCAGUGAGGGUUUGGAAAUCCCUUUGGUGGCUGUGUUACAAUGGUAUACUCCAGCACUUCCUCUCACAAGAUAUAUCUCUAGUUGUUACUCGUUGCCCAGUAUCCGCUUGGAUCGUCCUCAGCUGGUGAUGACAGCUUCCUGCCCAAGGGCCGUCAGGCCUCUGGAGCACUUCUGGGUUAAAUACACCCUCCUGAACAACUUGCAGGACUUUGCCGUCCAUCUGAUCUGGAAUUCUGAAGCUCAUAGUCAUCAGCAGGACCCCAGGGAUGAAGCGGUGGUGUGCCAGUCUCCCAUCAACAACCUGGGACAGUGUAGCAAGGGCUCCACCCUCUCCUUCACUGUGGCCUUCCAGAUCCUCAGAACUGGACUCUUUGAGUUAAGCCAGCAUAUGAAACUGAAGCUUCAGCUCACAGCUACUGUGUCCACUCCUCCUCCUCGAUCGCUACUGAAGAAAUCUCCACUAUCAUCAAGCUUGGUAGCCGGGGAGCUUCUAGAGACACGUACCCUGGGCCGAUCUCAGAGCUUCUCCCACCAACAGUCGGCCAGAUCAAACCAUGUUAGCAUGUCCAUGACACGGUGUCUCUGUUUGUUUCAGGACAGGCAGUGUGAUGGAGCAUCGGGCAAUCACACCACUUCUGGGACCUUCAAUGGGCAGAGCCACCCACCCUCCCCCUGACCACACCCUCAUUUCACUGGACAAAAUAGCCAAGAGAAAGUGUAAAGUGUUGGUGCUGGAACAUAUCCAAGAGGCAUACUGCAGAUGACGUGGAGAGGAAUGUUGUACUGAAGAUACAAACAUCAGUGUUGAUCCAUCAGUCCAGCCUCCAUGGAAGGAGGAGCAGAGAGGAGGGGAAUCAAAGGCCAGGAGGAGUGGCGGUGACGUGGUCGGGGGGGGAAGAGAUGAUGAAAGGAAAAGCCCUCAUGGAGCCACAGCGGUUCUUCAUUUCACUGGUUUAUCAUUUCAAUGGAUUAGGUACUUAUUCUCCUUCAAAUCAUCAUUUCAUUCCAUCAGAGUUAUUAUUUUUUGUUAAACAUUUUCUUCAAGCCUACAUUUAAUUGAAUUCUGUGGGUUAUUUUUUUACUCUCCUAUGUCUGGGGGGGAUUUUGUUGAUAUUUACAUAUGAAGGUUUUAUUAAAGCAUCAUUGACUGUUUUUUUUUGUAUAUGGCAGCUCACGUGUCAUUUUGGAUUUUCAGUCAGGAAACCUCAGAUUGGCUACAUUUGUGUGUACACUUGUUUGCCAUCCCAGUUCCACCUUGUGCAAACAGUCUGUUUAUCUGUUUCACACGACCUCCUUGCAAAUAGCCCUGAGCCCAGCUGCAGCAAACACCUUCAGGAUAAACUGGACCACUGGCUAUUACACAGACUGAAGAGCAGCACAUUAAUCAAAUGUUCAACAAUCACAUAUACAUUACUAUUACAUUACACAUAUCACAUACUGCUGGAAUGUUUGGCCGUCUAUACCUUGGGCCAUGUAAAAAAAAACUAGAAAGCUUGUCCCCAAAGCCAGCUAGGUUCUGGUCAGAAAGAGUAUGUGCUAAGCUAAGCUAAACGUGUGCAGAAACUAAUUUAGUUCUGUGCUGAAAAUCUAAACUGAUAUUAAUCUACAGUCAGAUUCUGGGUAAUGAAGCCAUAACAGAGUCCCCACAAGCUCCGACUGCUCCUUUAAAUAAUCGUGGACAUAUGCUGCUCUACAUUCUGACUGGGUAGUGCCUAUGGUUUUUAACUGCAAACUUUUUUUUGUCCAUAAAAUCCUGAAACAUGCUACUGUGUUAGGAUAAUGUAGCCAUGGUGAUAUACUAAUGCAAAUGCAAUUGUCUGUGUUUUGUAACUGGACCACAAACGUGUUAUAGUCAGUUUACAAAAGUUGACAGCCAACUCGAGGAAGUGAUGUGCACUCAGAUUGACAUUCAUCUGAAAAAAGUUAUUUUUAAAAUAGGGCAGAAUUUCAAUGUGAGUGUAUUGCAGCUUCAUAAACUAGUCCUUACACUGACUGAUUUGAUCUAUUUAUUGUGAAUGUUGAAUUUUUUUCUUGUAAGUUCUGUAGAAUCUAGUUUUUAAAUGGAUGCUUUUAUAGUCUUUAGUUUGAACUGUCUGCAGUCGAUCAGUGCAUCGAUGCACCAACAACUGUGCAGCACAUGAUAUAUAAUCUGAAUGAAAGCUGUCAUGAAUAAUGUGAAGUGCAGUGGGAGCAGGGUGGAGGUAAUGGGGUUCCACUGGCAUUUAGUUUCUUUUACAUUUCUAACAUUUACAUUUCUAGAUUUAAGUUGUCCCAGUGGAGAACAAUAUUGGUCUUAUGGGACCAUUAAAGUGUCUGCUCAGUAAAGACUUUCAGGCAGCUGUUUAAUGCAGGUGAAAAGAUUUUGAUCAGUUUACAAACUGAAACCUUUCUUCUUCCGUUGAUAUAUAUUUCUGUCUUACUGUGUCAAAGCCACUUAAUAAUUUCCUAGUUUGAUCAUUUCAUUGUCAAUAGUUUGGGUGCAGCUAGCAGUGGUUUUGGUGAUAUGCUGUGUGUGCAGAAUCACCUGCUAAAUAAGCAAAGGGAUAAGAUGCCCCAGAGGUUGUGUCUGAAAGCCUUCCCCCUCCUCACUGCUUGGACAGCUCUAUGUAGAGUCUAUGCAGUGAGCUCAUCACUGCUCAUUUUCUCUGUAAUACAAUUGCAAUGUGCCACGUCAAUAAAUAUCUGAAGCAUUUUAGAGAUAAAUACAUAUUUUACUGAGCGUAUUUUCAACACAAAUAUUUAGUGUCUGCUACAACUUUCAAUUCUCUUAAAUCAAGGCUUUUUCUGUUUUUCAGCUGCUUUUUAUUGAGUCACAUCUGAGGGUUUUGUUCAUCUUUGUCUAUGUUUACUCUCUACAUUCAUUUAUUAUAUGAAACUGUAUCGGGGGAAAAACUAACCUCAUAGCCUCAUGGUGUUUAAAAAGUUUUAAUCAGAUGAGACUUGAUGUGACAUCAGAAAGGCUGCUUCAUCAGGGCUGAACUAGCAACCCUGGAAAAUACUGUAUCGACUGUUGUGAUUCAACCCACUGACACAAAGUGUUGGUCAACGUAAUUUGCUCACCAUUCCAAGAGAAUGUGGUCAUUUAAAUCCCACUGGUGUCCCUGCCCUUUUCAACAAAAAGCUUUCUCCUGCAGCUUGUUAACAGAUGUGAAUCGCAGGGAUUCCAAACACAUCUGGGGAGUUCAUCUAAAGAGUAGGAUUAAAAAGCCCAGCUACUAAACCCUCAAGGUUAAAAUGCUCACUCUACAAGUUCAUUGUUGGAAAGACUCAGUUAAUGUUAUAAUGUAACAAUUACCAUGAGGACCCAGAGAUAAGAUGUUUUGGAGAGAAGUUGCAGGGUUUAUCAUUCAGAAAACAUUACUGUGCUGUGUCAUAUAUUCUACACAGCAGCAAUGUCAGAAUUAACUCUUACUGUAAUUUCAACAAUUUCUUCAGUGAUUGUAUUAGAAUAGCAUAUAAUGUUGGGAAUAAUAAUCUCUCUAAUAAUUUCAUUUCUGGAGCAGAACUCAAUCAGGUAGAGAACGAGUGCAUUUUAAUGCUUUCUUGUUUUGUCUAUUUAAAUUAAGAAACUAAUAAAACUUUCAUUUUACAUUUUCA